rnacentral:rRNA from 1 species
UACGGAGGGGGCUAGCGUUGUUCGGAAUUACUGGGCGUAAAGCGCACGUAGGCGGCUUUGCAAGUUAGAGGUGAAAGCCCGGGGCUCAACUCCGGAAUUGCCUUUAAAACUGCAUCGCUAGAAUUGUGGAGAGGUAAGUGGAAUUCCGAGUGUAGAGGUGAAAUUCGUAGAUAUUCGGAAGAACACCAGUGGCGAAGGCGACUACUGGACACAUAUUGACGCUGAGGUGCGAAAGCGUGGGGAGCAAACAGG